UUUUCUACCCCAGGAAUAGAUAACCUGAGCUGUAUCUUGUAGUUUAUUUCUUACAGUUGAUACAGCACUAACACAAUUAUAUAAAUUGUUGAAAAUGUAUAUUCGGAAAACUUCUAGCUGUAGAAUUUCCAGUUAUAGUAUUUUUUAAUAAAUUACGUUAAAGGAUUUUCCCAACAUGUGAGCAAUAUAGGCACGCCUACAUAUUAAAAUUGACAGGAUGUAACCAACAAAUAAGUGUAUAUAAAUAUAGGUUCAAAAGUGUUUAUGUAUUGUGUCAUUGAUUCAUAUAGAGACAAGCUGAGCGACUGACAUCAAAUACAAGGAACUGACUAAGAUACCAUAGUAAGCUUAUUGCAUACAUAAAAGACAAUGAAGCUUUACCAGAAAGUCGUUGCUUUAAUUGUGAUUUUUGCCUUCUGUGGUGAUGUUGGCAAUCUGAUAAAUUCGGUAUGGACUGGACAAGAAAUGAUAUCACAAAACUCCGCUCUCUUGUUGCCUGGAGCCCAUGCAAUUUGGGGACAUGUGGCAAGGACAGUGGUAAGGGGUUUGUCAAGAAGAGGAAGGAAAAAAGGAGGUAGCGAACAUACAAAAGGCAAGAGACCGAGCACCAAAGGCAAACAUCAGAAAGGACAAAGCAGAAAGCAAAAAGACCAAGACCGGGCAGGUGGAAAGAAACAAAAAGGUGGAAAAGAUGGAAGUAGGAAGAGAGGAUAAAAAUAAGAUAUUAUUUUGUUACAUGUGUUAUUCCCUUCUUUAUAAAGGAUUAACACAGUGUUUAGGUGACUGUUCUAGAGAUCAACUUGUACGAUUGCGAUUUCAACGUAAACUGUAUAUUUUUUUCGCGAUCAAUGACAAUCAAACCACAUCCUUAUUUUUGUUACAAACACAUAUAUAUAUAUAUAAUAAAAACUAUAACACAA